AAAAUUUAUUAUUAGAUACUCAAUUCUUCACUCAGAGUCACAUGAAUUUAUUUCUGAAUAAGCCCAUCCUAUAGAAUUAUAAACCCACACUACCUAAAAGCUGGGUUCUACCUUCCCCACAAUUGAACUGAAUUCCUACUCCUGCAAUUGGCUUUUUAAAAUUAUGCAUGGAGCCCGCUAGGGGAGGAAUCUGAGGCCAAUACAUGCUCCAGCGAAGUGACAGCUCCUCAACGGCUCCCUCCAGGAGACAAGCAACCUGCCCUCAGUGCUCAGCCUGCCUGCUGGAACCCGAGACCUCUGCACUGCAGGUGCAGCACGCGUUGCUGAUGCCACGCAAGUGUAGAAGGGGGUCUGUAGGAAGACCACCAGCUCUAGGGACUGCAGGGGUGGGGCCUGAGUGGGUUAGGUCACCUGGGACUGGGAUGCUUGUGAUUGGUCAAGGGAGUGCUGAUCCUUGGAGAACUUACAAAAAAGGGAGGCAAACGAAAUAGGGCAGGGGAUGGGUCACUCCGAGACACUUGCUUCUCACCCCAAUAUCCUUACGUAAACUUUAACUUUGCUUAUACAUUUGCCUGAUUUCCGUUUUUAAGCCACUCAGUGCCUCUUUGGAGCCAACUCACACAGGCUCUAAAGAGAAGAGUAUCAAACACCCAGAAAUUUUGCAAGCCAGUUGUUAAGCUAUUGGCAAUUUGAAAUUGGCCACAGUGGGAGUAUUUUUUACACCACAGAUAUUGGCAAAUGUUACAAAUCAGGGUUGCUGAAGGAUUUUGGUCCAUAGAGCUGACUUUCCACUGCACCAAGUCAUUCUCCAUUGACUUUGCUUUCCUCCAGCAUGGUCUGACACGUUCCUGCCGGGAUUGUGGGCAGCUGCCCCUUGCUGUCUUUCUAACAUUAGCCCAUGCAUCUGUAAUCUUUCUGUGGGAACCACUGUUCUUCUGCCCUGCCCUUUUGUAAACUCUCCCCACUUGGAACGCAAAGUGAAAAUGAAGCCCUCGCUGCCAGAAACAGGGACACAGAGAAACACCUUGGAAAC
rnacentral:lncRNA from 1 species